UACGUAGGGUGCAAGCGUUAAUCGGAAUUACUGGGCGUAAAGCGUGCGCAGGCGGUCUUGUAAGACAGAGGUGAAAUCCCCGGGCUUAACCUGGGAACUGCCUUUGUGACUGCAAGGCUCGAGUGCGGCAGAGGGGGAUGGAAUUCCGCGUGUAGCAGUGAAAUGCGUAGAUAUGCGGAGGAACACCGAUGGCGAAGGCAAUCCCCUGGGCCUGCACUGACGCUCAUGCACGAAAGCGUGGGGAGCAAACAGG
rnacentral:rRNA from 1 species